rnacentral:rRNA from 1 species
AUAACGACUCUCGGCAACGGAUAUCUCGGCUCUCGCAUCGAUGAAGAACGUAGCGUAAUGCGAUACUUGGUGUGAAUUGCAGAAUCCCGUGAACCAUCGAGUCUUUGAACGCAAGUUGCGCCCUAAGCCAUUUGGCCGASGGCACGUCUGCCUGGGCGUCAAUC